rnacentral:rRNA from 1 species
GGGGUCAAACAUUUAUGGGAGAAGGAUGGGCAUGCGUGCCAUUAGCUAGUUGGCGGGGUAACGGCCCACCAAGGCGACGAUGGCUAGGGGACYUGAGAGGAUGGCCCCCCACACUGGUACUGAGACACGGACCAGACUCCUACGGGAGGCAGCAGUAAGGAAUAUUGGUCAAUGGGGGCAACCCUGAACCAGCCAUGCCGCGUGCAGGAAGACGGCCCUCUGGGUUGUAAACUGCUUUUAUUCGGGAAUAAACCUGCUUACGUGUAAGUAGCUGAAUGUACCGAAGGAAUAAGGAUCGGCUAACUCCGUGCCAGCAGCCGCGGUAAUACGGAGGAUCCAAGCGUUAUCCGGAUUUAUUGGGUUUAAAGGGUGCGUAGGCGGCCCAUUAAGUCAGGGGUGAAAGACGGUAGCUCAACUAUCGCAGUGCCCUUGAUACUGAUGGGCUUGAAUGGACUAGAGGUAGGCGGAAUGUGACAAGUAGCGGUGAAAUGCAUAGAUAUGUCACAGAACACCGAUUGCGAAGGCAGCUUACUAUGGUCUUAUUGACGCUGAGGCACGAAAGCGUG